rnacentral:misc_RNA from 1 species
GAUGAAGAACGCAGCGAAAUGCGAUACGUAAUGUGAAUUGCAGAAUUCAGUGAAUCAUCGAAUCUUUGAACGCACAUUGCGCCUGCCAGCACUCUGGCAGGCAUGCCUGUUCGAGCGUCAUUUCAACCAUCAAGCCCUAGGCUUGCGUUGGAGCCCUGCGGCUGCCGCAGGCCCCUAAAAGCAGUGGCGGGCUCGCUAUCACACCGAGUGCAGUAGAUUACUCUUCGCUCAGGGCGUGUGGCGGGUUCCAGCCGUGAAACCCCCUUCUUCUCAAGGUUGACCUCGGAUCAGGUAGGAAUACCCGCUGAACUUAAGCAUAUCAAUAAGCGGAGGA